GGCAAAAGCGAUUGCUGUGUUUGGAUAUGUUUUGUCCCCAAAGGAACAUGUGACAAAUGCUUUGUGUCUAUGUGGCUCUUGAAGUGAUGAGACCUUCAAAAGAUGAAAUUGUGAUCAGCCAACUUCCUGCACUUACCAAGCACUCAAGGGCUGCUGCCAUGCCUUCAUAGGCUGCUGCGAUGCACCAGUAUUGAGAAUACAGCACUGAACAAGGCAGAACAUGCCUCCCUUUAUGCUCCUCUCUGGUAUUCCCUAAGAUGUCCCUGGAACUCUCCAA